rnacentral:rRNA from 2 species
CUUCUGUGGGAGACUUGUUUUGAGCCCGCUUUUGUACAAUUGGACCUCAGAUCAGGCGAGAC